CCUACGGGAGGCAGCAGUGGGGAAUAUUGGACAAUGGGGGGAACCCUGAUCCAGCCAUGCCGCGUGUGUGAAGAAGGCCCUCGGGUUGUAAAGCACUUUCAGUGAGGAAGAACGCCUGGUGGUUAAUACCCAUCAGGAAAGACAUCACUCACAGAAGAAGCACCGGCUAACUCCGUGCCAGCAGCCGCGGUAAUACGGAGGGUGCGAGCGUUAAUCGGAAUUACUGGGCGUAAAGCGCGCGUAGGUGGCUUGAUAAGCCGGUUGUGAAAGCCCCGGGCUCAACCUGGGAACGGCAUCCGGAACUGUCAAGCUAGAGGGCAGGAGAGGAAGGUAGAAUUCCCGGUGUAGCGGUGAAAUGCGUAGAGAUCGGGAGGAAUACCAGUGGCGAAGGCGGCCUUCUGGACUGACACUGACACUGAGGUGCGAAAGCGUGGGUAGCAAACAGGAUUAGAUACCCCAGUAGUC
rnacentral:rRNA from 1 species